rnacentral:rRNA from 1 species
UGGCGACCGGCGCACGGGUGCGUAACGCGUAUGCAACCUACCCAUAACAGGGGGAUAACACUGAGAAAUUGGUACUAAUACCCCAUAACAUCAGGACCGGCAUCGGUUCUGGUUGAAAACUCCGGUGGUUAAAGAUGGGCAUGCGUUGUAUUAGCUAGUUGGUGAGGUAACGGCUCACCAAGGCAACGAUACAUAGGGGGACUGAGAGGUUAACCCCCCACAUUGGUACUGAGACACGGACCAA